CAUAUAUGGGAGACAAAGAAAUAGAAAAUGUAUAAAAAACUAUGCCAUGUGACAUUUGGUUCUCAGUUCUUCUGGUACGAACCCAACUGAGCGGUACCAGCACGAAUAAAGUUGCUUCCUGGAAAUUAAAAACCUCUGCGUCAUGACUCUCUGGGCGAGAACGCCACUACAUUAGUUGGCAGCUUGUGUCCGGGAUUUGGAGAUGGUGCAUUUCCACUUCCUUUGCCACCGAGGUAGAGCCUGAGAGCCGGGAGAAGCGACCUCGACUGGCGCCAAUGGACCACUUGAUCCGUAGGAGAUUAGCCUAUCCCGGUGUGCAGGGGUGAGGGCCCCGUGUGCACCAAUGGAACCUGUGAGGCCCAGGAACCAGCUUAAGGAGCGCCACCCAUCAGACUGUCCUGUUACAGACCCAGUCCUGACACCUUCUCUGCUCUGGCCACUGGAAGAACCACAUUCAGCUUUCCCACCUUGAGAGUGAAAGCCAGAAACUACUCAGCACAAACCCCUCGGUUAACCCUCACAUCCGGUGAGACACACACGAACAAAGAGCAGUCUCUUUUGAAGCCCAGGCUGCCUGGAAGAAACAAACAACAACAACAAAAAUGAAUAGCUUUCCCAAAAAGAAGCCAGAGGCACCGUGAGAAUGUCCUGAAGGAAAGGGACGGAGCAGCAAGGAACUGAAAGCAGAUUGGGAAGCUGCCGGGACUGCUCGUUCUCUCCAGAAGGACAUCAUAUGGGCACCAGGCCUGGGCGCUGAGACAAGAGGAUGUCCUUCUCCCUGGGGACCACCGUGGCAGGUAAAGGAGCCCACGGGGCGGAGACGGCAGGCUGAGGCUGAAUGCUGAGGACACUGGGAGCAGUCACCUUAGUAAACGGCAAGCUUGUCUCUGCUGCUUCACACUUGCCUCUGCUGUUGAAGACGACAUCACUCUAGCCUCUGUCCCCACAGGGGUAUGGAGGCCCCCCCCAUCCUUGGGCUGAGCUCGCUAGUGCUCCCGGAAGUGACUAAAAGGCAGAGAGGUUGCUACUCCUGUCCCUCCCAGGACGGAGGCUGCCGUCCUCUGGAACAGGUGCUUCAAACGACCAGACACGCUGGGCUUUGUCCCCCACUGCUUCUCCCCGGGCAGACAUCUGGUGAGGACACUGCCUGGAAAGAAGGUAGAGGCUUCAGCCUCUGGGGGAGACGAAGCCUCAGAGAAGCUCACCUGAGGAAGAGGACGGGCGUGCUCCCGGGGGAGGCGGCACAACACCUCCCUGAUGGUGAUGAGGAGAAGUGGCCCUCUGCUUUGCUGUAACCACCCACAGUAAUAAGGACAGAAAAGGUAAAGUGGGAGGGCCAAGGAGGGACCAGCUGCCCUACACACACACACACACACACACCUUGGCCCAGU